rnacentral:rRNA from 1 species
UUAGAGGAAGUAAAAGUCGUAACAAGGUUUCCGUAGGUGAACCUGCGGAAGGAUCAUUACAGAGAACUGCCUCCGGGCAAAUCUCCCCACCCUUUGUCUACUAUGCCUUGUUGCUUUGGCAGGCCCGCCCUUAGGGCCGCCGGCUCUGCUGGCCAGCGCCUGCCAGAGGAUCACAACUCGAGUUAGUGUCGUCUGAGCAUCAUUAAAUAGUUAAAACUUUCAACAACGGAUCUCUUGGUUCUGGCAUCGAUGAAGAACGCAGCGAAAUGCGAUAAGUAAUGUGAAUUGCAGAAUUCAGUGAAUCAUCGAAUCUUUGAACGCACAUUGCACCCUCUGGCAUUCCGGAGGGUAUGCCUGUUCGAGCGUCAUUACAGCCAUCAAGCACUGCUUGGAGUUGGGCGUCGCCGGCUCACGGCGCGUCUCAAAAUCAGUGGCGGCACCGUCUGGCUCCGAGCGUAGUAAUGUCUCUCGCUUUGGAGCCCGGAUGGGGCCCGCCAGAAGCCAACUAUAUCAUAAGGUUGACCUCGGAUCAGGUAGGGAUACCCGCUGAACUUAAGCAUAUCAAUA